GACGAACGCUGGCGGCGUGCUUAACACAUGCAAGUCGAGCGGUAAGGCCCUUUCGGGGGUACACGAGCGGCGAACGGGUGAGUAACACGUGGGUGACCUGCCCUUAGCUCUGGGAUAAGCCUGGGAAACUGGGUCUAAUACCGGAUAUGACUCCAUGACGCAUGUUGUGGGGUGGAAAGCCUUGUGCGGCUAGGGAUGGGCCCGCGGCCUAUCAGCUUGUUGGCGGGGUGAUGGCCACCAAGGCGACGACGGGUAGCCGGCCUGAGAGGGCGACCGGCCACACUGGGACUGAGACACGGCCCAGACUCCUACGGGAGGCAGCAGUGGGGAAUCUUGCGCAAUGGGCGAAAGCCUGACGCAGCGACGCCGCGU
rnacentral:rRNA from 1 species